ACACGUUUACAACUGAAGUUGCAGAGGUUAGAUUUGGGGGCGGCUAGCGACCACAGAAGAAUAGUAACAACACGUCAUCUCUGUGCUUCUUUGUCUACACUUUUGGAAAGAGUGAUGACGCCAUCGCUUUUUCCGAAAUGUAGACAAAGCAAUACCGUGAUGACGUCAUAGAGAUUUUGUUGAAUAUGUUACGAGCGUGUUUGUGUGUUCUAUCGAUUGAUCUCUGUCUAUCUUCUUAAGUCACAAGUCACAGAUGCGUGUGAUGAUGGAUCUAGAGUUCCAAGAGUAGUUAUUUAUUUUGUUUUUUGUUUAAUGGUGAAUUUUGUUGUUGAGAUACGUUUCAGAGAGAAAAUAUAACCAAAAAGAUUGAGAUUCUAGACAACUAUAUAUCGUAAAGAACAAAAUUAUGAUAUUGACUCACGGCACGGUUAAUAAACAAUGACUGUACUCUACGACGAUUGCAUCUAUAGCAAAUUUCUCGAGGUUACACUUGCACACAA